rnacentral:rRNA from 1 species
AUUGAACGCUGGCGGCAUGCCUUACACAUGCAAGUCGAACGGCAGCAUGAUCUAGCUUGCUAGAUUGAUGGCGAGUGGCGAACGGGUGAGUAAUACAUCGGAACGUGCCCUGUAGUGGGGGAUAACUAGUCGAAAGAUUAGCUAAUACCGCAUACGACCUGAGGGUGAAAGUGGGGGACCGCAAGGCCUCAUGCUAUAGGAGCGGCCGAUGUCUGAUUAGCUAGUUGGUGAGGUAAAGGCUCACCAAGGCGACGAUCAGUAGCUGGUCUGAGAGGACGAUCAGCGACACUGGGACGGAGACACGGCCCAGACUCCUACGGGAGGCAGCAGUGGGGAAUUUUGGACAAUGGGCGAAAGCCUGAUCCAGCAAUGCCGCGUGUGUGAAGAAGGCCUUCGGGUUGUAAAGCACUUUUGUCCGGAAAGAAAUGGCUCUGGUUAAUACCUGGGGUCGAUGACGGUACCGGAAGAAUAAGGACCGGCUAACUACGUG